UUUUUCUCUCAUUUAAGUGUUUGCUGCAAAGUCUUGUGUAUUUGUAGUUGUGAUUCUUGAAUUCUUUUUGUCUGGUUGCUUGCAGAAAAUUUUUUUUGGAGCUUGAAGCUAUAUUUUGGUCCUGAUAGUUCUGUAUGUUUUCAUUUUGGGUUGUUUAAAAAACAAAGUUCUUGGAGUAUUCUAUUUUCAAUUUAUCCAGUAAACAUAGUAUAGUGAAAUAAAAUAUAAGAUAAAUAAGAGACAAAUAAUUGUUUGCUCAGUGUGGCUGUAGGGCUAUUUGCCAACCUGCUGAUAACUUAAAGUUUUGCUUUCUUCCUGGAGAGUGAUUUUCAUAGUCAAAAUUAUAAUACUUAAAGAAAAUUAGAACCCUUCGCAUUUUUGUGAAAUAUAAUGCAAGGAAAUAAGACCUUAAUGAUACAGAUGGUAACUUAAAUGCUGCUUCCAAUGCUUUUCCAAAUAAAAAGUAGAUAUAGGAAUUUAAUAGCUGAUUAAGACAAUGCUUGUUAUCUUAUAAUAAGAUUUGUAUUCCUAGACAUGCUUCUCUGUCAUAAAAUGAGUAUAAGGCUUCUGUAUGAUUAUCAAGUGUGAUUACCUAGAUUCUUGCCAAUCACAGUAUUUUUUUUAGGAAGUGACUGAACAUGUUCUGCUAGAGAGAAAAAUGCAAUGUAUCCCAAAUUAGGGAGAAGCUCCAAAGUAGGUACAAAGUAGGAAGAAGAAAGAAGUAGAGUUUACCUUGAAGUUCUCUAGUAAUAAUAUAUAAGCAAGAAAUAAGCAAUAAAACUCACAUAAUCAAAUGUUUAUGUACAAAUUUAUAAUAAUCAUUAUAAAUUAGUAAUAUUUAUAAUAGGGAUAGAUAAUUUUUUCCACAAGUAUUGCCUUUUCUGGGUGAUAUGAUAACAGUAAUAAUAAAUAACAUUUGUAUAGCACCUACCAUUGUGACUGGGACUAGUAAGUGGCUUAAAAUGAUUAUUUUAUCAUUUGAUGCUCACAAUAACCCCAGAAGAUAGGGGUUAUUAUACCCAUUUUAAAUAUAAUGAAACUAAGGCAAAAAGAGCUUGAGUGAUUUGCCAAAGUCAUAGAUAAUAUGUAUCUGAGGCUGGGUUUCAACUCCUGUCUUCUUAGCUCUGAUCCCUGUACUCUAUUCACAGUGCCAGUUAGUAGCCUGGAUGACUAAAAUAUUGCUCCAGAAGAUUAUCCCUUAUUUGAAAAAAAAAACAUUAAGUUAAAAGAAGUAUAAUGAUGGAAUGAUAGCACUGUAUAAAAUAAAUUAAUUAAAUUCAACUAAACCUGCAUUAUGUUGGGCACUGUACAUGGCACUGGGGAUACAAAGAGGAAAAUAAUAGAAAUCUUUCUUUUCAUGGAACUUAUUGGAAGAUAACUAGUGUAAAAAGGAAUUCUUUAUUACUUUUUUAAUUUAAUGGGGGACCUGGGGGUCCUCUUACCAUAGAGAUGUGUAGGGAUUAACUAGCCCACAAUGACAGGAAAUAGGAACUGGGGAGCCCCCUGCUGAACCAGAGUCAAUUUCAGGCUUUCAGUUGCUGACAGUUAGGAGAGUCAGUUGCUGUGGUGAGUCAGUGACUGACAGUUAAGGCUGGCAGUUGGGAGGAAGUUGGCUGCUGGGCAUGAGUAGGUCAUUGGGGUUGGUUGCUGGUGAUGUGGUUGGCCUUCAGUUGCUGGAAUAUAAAGGUGGCCCUGAGCUUACUGAGAGAGACCUCAGACUGCUUCCUUCAGAUGAUCACAUGACUCUGGUUGUUGUUUCUGAUAUGUGAAGCUGAAAGGAAGGUCCAUGGCAAAACUGUCUACCCAUGUCCUGGAGAACACACUUUUCCAAAUAUACACCAAGCUUAAGAAAUUGAGGCAGAGGUUAAGUGACUUGGCCAGGAUCACAUGAACUCCAAACUUCUUGAUGUCAGGCCAAGUUCCAAGCUUUAUCCACUGUACCAGCAGCUGCUGACAAAAGUCAAGACAGAAGGUACUGGCAUUAAGUAUUUCCAGAAAUUUCUCUCUUGUGGAAAGUGGGACUUGAAGGAAACAAAGUCAUAUAGGAGAUAGAGAUGAAAGGGAUAAAAUUUCAGAUGUUGGUCACAGGAAUUGAAAAUCUAUGGAGUUGGGAUAUUGUCUUUUGUAAAAAGUGGGAUAAAAAACCAGUUGGACUGAAUUGUGGAACAGAUGAAGAGCAGUAAGGCAUUAAGAAGACUGUAAAGAUUGAAGGGGCCAGAUUUUGAAGAUUAGCACUAAUAUUUUAAUUUAU